UCUGUUUUUUUAUGUGCUGAGCAUGAUGGGAAAUAGAGGUAACGCAUGGGAAUUUUGAGUCAUAAACAAAGAUUCAUAUUAUGUUUUUGAAGUUGUAUUAUAAGUUGCAGUUUUAUUUUCUUGUUGUUUUGGGAUGCUAGAAUUGUAUUUAGCAUCUUUAGAAGCAGAUAAGCGUAUUCCCAAAAAAGAGAUCUUCUGUUCUAAGUGGAAAACAGGGAUAACACUUCACGCUCACCAGAUGAGGCAAUGUUGUCGAAAUAAAUCAUAAACCAUUAUGACAA